rnacentral:rRNA from 1 species
CCUACGGGAGGCAGCAGUAGGGAAUAUUGCUCAAUGGGGGAAACCCUGAAGCAGCAACGCCGCGUGGAGGAUGAAUGUUUUCGGAUUGUAAACUCCUUUUGUUAGAGAAGAUAAUGACGGUAUCUAACGAAUAAGCACCGGCUAACUCCGUGGCAGCAGCCGCGGUAAUACGGCGGGUGCAAGCGUUACUCGGAAUCACUGGGCGUAAAGAGCGCGUAGGCGGGAUAGCAAGUCAGAUGUGAAAUCCUAGGGCUUAACCAUAGAACUGCAUUUGAAACUGUUAUUCUAGAGUAUGGGAGAGGUAGGUGGAAUUCUUGGUGUAGGGGUAAAAUCCGUAGAGAUCAAGAGGAAUACUCAUUGCGAAGGCGACCUGCUAGAACAUAACUGACGCUGAUGCGCGAAAGCGUGGGGAGCAAACAGGAUUAGAUACCCCGGUAGUC